rnacentral:rRNA from 1 species
AUUGAACGCUGGCGGCAGGCCUUACACAUGCAAGUCGAGCGAGCGGCGGACGGGGGAGUAAAGUCUGGGAAAAUGCCUGAUGGAGGGGGAUAACUACUGGAAACGGUAGCUAAUACCGCAUACCAUAAGAUGUGCCCAGAUGGGAGUGGUUAGUUGGUGGGGUAACGGCUCACCUAGGCUACAAUCCCUAGCUGGGCUGCGAGGAUGACCAGCCACGCGGGAACUGCGACACGGUCCAGAGUCCUACGUGAGGCAGCAGUGGGGAAGAUUGCACAAGUGGCGCAACCCUGAUGCAGCCAUGCCGCGGGUGUGAAGAAGGCCUUCGGGUUGUAAAGCACUUUCAGCGAGGAGGCGUUACCCGCAGAAGAAGCACCGGCUAACUCCGUGCCAGCGGCCGCGGUAAUAC